rnacentral:lncRNA from 1 species
ACAGAUUUCGCCCCCCAAUGAAGUGCAAACGGGAUUAUGGACGUCUGUCUCCCAAGAUACAACGCUCCUUCCAAAGUCGAUACUGCACAAUACCAACCUUGUCGGUCGAACCAAUGAAUGAUCGUACUUGAACGGAAUAACGACGGAAGUAUAAGAGAUUUUUUACGAGCAGAAUAUGGAGAUAGAAGAAUUUAGAAAUCAAUUGAAUUCGUAAUUGAUUUGGUGUGUCAAAAAACGAAUAUGGGGGUCCCUAUUUAUAGAGAUUGAAGUGUCUCAUGGAACAGGUGUGUGACAUUUCAGGAACUGGUGCACCACUUGGUCUGAUUCGUCUUAGCCAUUGGAUCGCACUAUUUUUAUGAUCUGACGGCCCAGAUUGAACCAUGAAGUGAAGUGUCCAUUCAUCAUGCCUAUUCACCAAUUUCUGAAUAGUCACAGCCAUACGGAUGCCACGCGUACACCUAACCGCCAUGCAGGACGAAGGGACGCGACCUACCACUCGUGCGCCACCUAGAAUGCCAACUCAUCGAGCCUUGUGCUGCCACGUCAUCGAACCACGAGUCCAUUUCCGAAAACUAUA